rnacentral:misc_RNA from 1 species
UUUAUAUAUAUAUAUAUAUAUUCUCGAAAGCAGCACAACUACAUGUAAAAAACUCUGGAGGGUGGUAUUGUCACCAAACUCUCUAUCCCAACACUGCUAUACUUCAGAGGGAUCAUAACUCGCUAAAGGCAUUUUUGGCCUUUUCCGUUACAUUACAACCAAUAUAAAAUAGUUCUACAAGUGAGAAAAAUAUCCAUACUUGGAGAAUCAUUUUGGCAGCUG